rnacentral:lncRNA from 1 species
CAUCUCCCGGCGGCAACAUCAGGUGCUUUGACCUUGGUUCUUCUGUGAUUUUUUUCCAGUUGUUGAAGCACGUGUGGACGACUCACCAGGCCCUUGUCGGCGCAUCGGCAGACUGGAAACCCUGCUCGCCUUUUCCACGUGGACGAGUGUCCUCACGCCGGGGCCUGGCCAGGGGCUCGCUCCCCAUGUCUGAGGGCGCCGAGUCCCCGCUGUGGCCGCUGGCUCAGGGCCCAGCUGGGGUCCGACGGAGGGGGCGGCAGAGCAGGGCUGCAGGCAGGAGUGCUUCCUGGUGGCGAUGGUGAGGCGGCCUCCUGAGGACGCUGGUGAUGGGGCAGCGUCUCCCCUCCACUCUCCUCUCGUGCCUUCAUCGGUUUUCCAGGAUCUAAAGUUGAAGCAGUGGCCAGCCUUUCAAAGACAAGGACCUAUGUGGCUUCAUCCACGAUCUCACUACCACCAAAAACAUCUUGAGGAAAUCAUCACAAAAGGAAACAGGGGCAGUCCAAGUCAGACAUUAUUUGUCCCAAGGAGGAUGUGAAAACUCAGUAGAGAUUUAAGAUAAAGGCUUCACUGCAAAUCUUCACUGCACCACCAGAGCUCAGAGAGAAGCGUACACACGAC